rnacentral:lncRNA from 1 species
UUUUUAGGGCUACAACUGUGGCAUAUGGAAGUUCCCAGGCUAAGGGUCGAAUUGGAGCUGCAGCUGCCAGGCUACAUUGCAGCCUCAGCAACACUAGAUCUGAGCUGCAUCUGCAAACUUCACCAAAGCUCACAGCAAUCCCAGAUCCUUAAUCCAGUGAGUGAGACCAGGGGUCAAACCCGCAUCCUCAUGGAUACUAUAUGGGAUUCUUAACCCACUGAGUCGCAAUGGGAACUCCUCUUUAGGUCAAUUUUAAGUUGACUUUUUUCAUCCUAGUAUCCAUGAGGGUACGGGUUCAAUCCCUAGCCCUGCUCAGUGGGUUAAGGAUCUGGCGUUGCCACAAGCUAUGAUGUAGGUCACAGAUGCAGCUUGGAUCUGGUAUUGCUGUGGCUGUGGCUCUGUGGGGCCUUGGGCUGAUUUCUUCAAGAAAUGUGAGUGUCUGUUUUCUAAGCUAUACAUACAAGGGCUUAUAUCAAUACCUGCCUCAAAAUGGCAUCUUGAGGAUUUAAAUAAAAUUAUCCAUGAAUGUGCUUAGUCCACGUACAAAAAAGUUGGUGAUUGUAACGGUGCAGACAAGGGCAGCAUGGUCUGGUUUAAGAGGCCCUGAGGAGUGAGGUGGAUGGGCUCUGGGGACUGGAGGAGGGCAUGUUGAGAAACAGGAGGCAGACAAUUAAAAAAUCACUGAUAACUCAAUUUUCCAAAUCUCUUCUCUCCCACCUGUCAAAACCCAUGCACGUGCACUCCUAGACCCACCAUCAUGGCCAUACAAUCAUUCACAAAAAGAAAAACAAGGAGGAACAGGCUUGGGGGAGACAAAGGUUAGGUUUUUUUUUCUGUAGCAGGAUACACUGAAAUCACUGGAAGAGGGCAUCCACGUGGAGCCGACCACUUGGAAGCUGAAUGUUGGUCCUGAACUCUAGAGUGAAAUGGCAGAGUCAGGGGUGGCGUUUCAAGGGUCAUCCACGUUGACAUAGUAGUUCAAUCAGUAGUAAGCCAAACAUGACAAGUGAAAAGGCACAGAGGAAAGAAAGUGAAAGAGCAAACACACACACACACACACACACACACACACACACAUACAGAGGUGAAGGCAUUAGAGACCCUUUAAAGGGCAAGAGGAAGAAGAAAGGUUAGGGGCAUGGGGGUGUGUCUGCGUGUAGACAGGGAUUUAGAAAUGGUGUGUGAUGGGAACCAAGGUUUCUAAGGAGACCGCCCAUCAUUGUCAAGUGCACGGCUCAGGCAGAAGAGGUGGGGGCGGGGCAGGGGGGGUGCAGUGACUGAUUGGGGCAUUAGGAAGUAACUUAAGAUGCAGGGCCAGUUCUGAGGACUGCAUUCUCAGUGCAAAUCUGGAAGCUGUCUUACAUGCAAAUAAAAAUUAAAAACGGAGUUCCCUAGUGGCUUAGUGGUUAAGGAUUUGGCAUUGUCACUGCUGCGGCUCAGGUUACUGCUGUGGCACGGGUUUGAUCCCUGGCCCAGGAACUUCUGCAUGUCGUGG